AAGUCAUAACAAGGUUUCUGUAGGUGAACCUGCAGAAGGAUCAUUAGUGAUUGAACAAGGAGCCUUCCACUCGCUGGGAGCUCCGACCUUCCACUCUUAUCCACACACCUGUGCAUGCGGUCUUGCGGGCUCCUGGCGCCAAGCGCCUCGGGCCUGCCUGGCCAUUUUUACACACACAAUGUCAAUAGGAUGUCUUUCUUACGUCGCAAGACGAAUACAAAAGAAAACUUUCGACAACGGAUCUCUUGGUUCUC
rnacentral:misc_RNA from 1 species